CCCCACCCCUCACCAGAUGUUAUCCAGCUAGAAUGUCCAACCUGAUUUAAGGUCCACUCCGAGUCCUUCUGGAGAACACUAGCAAGCAGGCUUUCAAAGGCAGGAUGAAACAGUUUCAAACAAACCAGUGCAUUAGUGAGAGAGCUCAGUGUCUUCACAACAAGCUCUCCACAAAGCUCCAAAAGGCAUCUUGCACUGAAGGCAGCUGCAGCGCUCGUGUCCUGUGGGGAAUUCUGCUGAGCUUGAGGAAGGUACAGCACACUGGCAGCUGUCCAAAACACCAGUGGCCUCACUCACUUUAGUCUGUGAUGUAGAAGUUUCACUCUGAACAUGUUUUGCUCUUAGAAGUCUCCUGGCAGGUAUCAUGAAAGGAACAAUUUUAUGUCACCUAAUCUGAAUUCAAAUUUUGUCAUUAUAAUUUUAUGUCUGCUGCUCCCCAAAGGAAAGACUCAACUAUUUAUAGAGGUCUAGAAAAGACCACGGUCAGAACAAGCAGCAGUAUCAUCAGUCCUGGAUAGGUUGUCCAAAGCAACUAAAGUUGAGAGAGAUAUUGCCAGGUUCUGCUGGCUGGAGGCAUUAACUCAAGUACUCCACCCUCCACACAUGCUUGCCAUAAAGAAAGAAGUGCAGAUGACAUGAAUUAUGCAGCCACUAACUAACAAGGGAAUAACCUGAAGGGGUUGGAAGCAGAUAAGAAGACACCUCAGCCACCUCCUACCUUAGUUUGCACCUCCUCACACCAUGGGAAGGGACUGGCAAGCCAAAUGUGGUGUCAGACACCAGAAUUCCUCACACAGUUUGGAGCUAACUAAUAAUGAUACUGAAAACCACUUUCAAUAGGAACUACACCUUCACUUUGCACCAGUGGAGAACAACCAUUAGCACACUUUGUCAAGGAAAGGGAUGCAUUUAUCAUCACCUGGAGCCUUUUCAUAGACGCUGGAUGUGCUCUAAAAGAUACACUCUUACUCAACAAGAUGUUAUUGAACUCAAUAGCACUCACCUAUGUGGCGGGAAAAAUUCAUUCCUGUCGCUGCAAGAACUUCUGGGAAGGCAUAAAAUGGUCUGGUUUACACAUAUUUUAUACAAAUAGUCUCUUCUGGCUUUAAAAUAUGCUACAUGUGAGACUGGACACUAAAUUUAUUCUCUCAAAUGUUUAUUCAUGUAAACAAUCAAAUCUUCAUUAAAGUCGAAAUUAUACACACAAAUCAGAGUGAAGCAGACAACUGAUUAGCAUGUGAAAUGAAGGUGACAUUAAAUAUUUGGAGAUUUGCAUAGCAAAUAAUUAUAAAUCCAAAGUUAGUGGUGAGUUAUGAAAUACACUGUUAAGAUCUAACAAAGUCCACUUAAAUAAGAAAAAUUCACAGAGGCAGCCUGGUAUCUUAGAUCCCUGAAACAUUAUUCAAGAUCUUAUCUGAACUUUAAUUAACUGAUCCUCAGAAUUCCCAUGAGGCAACAGCAAGCUCUGGAAAAGAGCAAAUAAUUAAUAAGUAAUCAUUUAUACAAUGAAUUUUUCUUCUUGUUUGUGAUCAUCUACAGAGAUCAUUAAAUCUAUUUAUAAUACACAAUGACUCACAAUUUUGUCAAUAAUACUUUGCUUGUAAAUAGUUUAUAAUUUGCAACUAGAAGGAAGGACAGAGGAAUCCUGUGUGUUUACUGCUGUUUCCUGACUAUUUACAAAACCCAUGAGAUCAGCAAGGGUGACUGUGAAUUCAGAAUCAAAUAUUGAACAAAAUGUGUAAUUUAAAAUUUCUCUUCAGUAAAAAUAAUAAGACCUACUAUCUAAGGAAGAAGGUGCUUUUUCCUAGAGGAAAAAGGUGAGAAGAAAUGACAAACUGUAGUUCAGGCAGUCCAGUGUGUGUUCACACACCACUCAGAGUGCCCAGGGUGGGUGACACAUAGAGUGGCUGCAGCCAUGUGGGAGAAAGGGAUAAUGCUGAAGCCUUC